CGGCCGGGAACUCAAAGGAGACUGCCAGUGAUAAACUGGAGGAAGGUGGGGAUGACGUCAAGUCAUCAUGGCCCUUACGACCAGGGCUACACACGUGCUACAAUGGCAUAUACAAAGAGAAGCGACCUCGCGAGAUCAAGCGGACCUCAUAAAGUAUGUCGUAGUCCGGAUUGGAGUCUGCAACUCGACUCCAUGAAGUCGGAAUCGCUAGUAAUCGUAGAUCAGAAUGCUACGGUGAAUACGUUCCCGGGCCUUGUACACACCGCCCGUCACACCAUGGGAGUGGGUUGCAAAAGAAGUAGGUAGCUUAACCUUCGGGAGGGCGCUUACCACUUUGUGAUUCAUGACUGGGGUGAAGUCGUAACAAGGUAACCGUAGGGGAACCUGCGGUUGGAUCACCUCCUUA
rnacentral:rRNA from 1 species